UACAGAGGUCUCAAGCGUUGUUCGGAUUCAUUGGGCGUAAAGGGUGUGUAGGUGGCGCCGUAAGUCGGGUGUGAAAUUUCGGAGCUUAACUCCGAAACUGCAUUCGAUACUGCGGUGCUUGAGGACUGGAGAGGAGACUGGAAUUCAUGGUGUAGCAGUGAAAUGCGUAGAGAUCAUGAGGAAGACCAGUGGCGAAGGCGGGUCUCUGGACAGUUGACUGACGCUGGAGGCAACGAAGGCCCAGGGGAGCAAACGGGG
rnacentral:rRNA from 1 species